rnacentral:lncRNA from 1 species
CAUUUGUUAUACCCCUGCUUGAAAUUUGGUGGCAUUGGGUAUGCUACCACACCCAAUACAACAACCACCAUACGCCACUGGUUGGAACGUGUCCACAAAUCUCCUCUUUGGUCUUGUGCUCAUACCACAAAAUGUUUUGGUUCCUCAUGGGAAAGAAACCUGGUAUACAUACCAUCAAGGUGACCUCGAAGCUCCUUGUUUUCUUGCAAGCUUUUGGCUCCAUAGAGAAAUCAUUUUGAUAAACUGUAGAAAUUACCUCAAGAAAACCAGCCUGCUUAUUCUUCAUUUUACUUGUGAAGCACCUUUUCACCGCCUUCUCUUUUAGCUGUAGUCGUAGCAACAAUAUCAAACAUACAUGCAAACCACUCACCUCUUUUCCUUUACCCCUGUCAACCAUCACUGUCACCACUGCUGCCACUACAACUAUUUCUGCUUCAGCAAUGAAAAUAUUUUGAAAAUGCCACUUCAAAAAACCUGUGCAGCUGAAGUAUUUUUAAAGAACCCUUCUAGACAACACUAGAAGUAGGGAGACAUUUGGAUGUUUGUCAGACGCAUUUCACUUCCAAGAGUUGCUGCAUAAGUUUUCCUAUUUUCCUUUUUGUUUUUGUUUUUGUAUUUCUCGCUAAUCCAGAAUAUAAGAUGCCAGUCCUCAAGUAUACUACACAUGCACACAAACACACAUUCUCUCUCUCUCUCUCAUUUGGCUGUACCAAAUAAGAGAGGAAAAAAAUCCCCGUGCAUAUGGAGUUCGUUUGAAGCUGAUUAUUCAUUCCAUUACUACUCUGGGCUUUUCUCACUUAUGCGAAUUUCUUCAGAUGGCAAAGCCCAAAUAAAACACAUUCCCUCUUCCGAAAUCGUUUUAUAUAAUCUCUUAGCAGGUAUUUGAAACUCUGUAUUAGAAGAGAGUUGUUGAAAAUGGAUAAGAGUGACUAAGGGUCAAUAACAUUUUAGGGACCUACAGAGUACACAUAAUUAGCCAUAUAUAACUGAAUGCCAUCAGAGUACAGGAAUAACUGCCAAUAUCAGAAACGUUUUCCUGGAUCAUGAAGGCACAGAUAUAGCAAGGAACUGAAUUGGGAUUGGAGAAAAAUUAUGAAUAUUUUCUUCUGUUGCUAUCAUGUCUUCAUCAUAAAGGGAAGCCACCAGAUUAUAAAAUAUAUACAUAUACAUGGCUCAGUGGUUAGAGCGUCGAGCUUACGAUCGUGAGGUUGUGAGCUCGAAUCCCGGACCGGGCUGCGUGUUGUGUUCUUGAGCAAGACACUUUAUUUCACGUUGCUCCAGUUCACUCAGCUGUAGAAAUGAGUUGCGACGUCACUGGUGCCAGGCUGUAUCGACCUUUGUCUUUCCCUUGGAUAACACUGGUGGCGUGGAGAGGGGAGGCUGGUAUGCAUGGGCGACUGCUGGUCUUCCAUAAACAACCUUGCCCGGACUUGUGUCUAGGAGGGUAACUUUCUAGGUGCAAUCCCAUGGUCAUUCAUGACCGAAGGGGGUCUUUAUAUAUAUAUAUAUAUAUAUUACCCAUAUAUAUAUAUAUAUAUAUAUAUAUAUAUAUAUAUAUAUAUAUAUAUAUAUAUAUAUAUAUAUAUAUAUAUAUAUAUAUAUAUAUAUAUAUAUAUAUAUAUAUAUAUUGAAUGUUUUUCUUUACGUUUUUUCUCUCUCUUUUUUUCAUUCUCUUUCCAUUUUUCUCCCCUCUUGAUCUUUUCUGUCAAAGAGCAUAGGCUUGAAAUGUCAAACACUUUCCCAUUCUUCCUGAGUGCCAAACCAAUACAACCCACUUGUUGUUCCCUCACCUGCCUUCCAUCUUUUGCUUUCUGUAAACUUGAACUAUACACACAUGUGUAUGUUUGUGUUAAUCAUUUAUUCCAUCACCACGUGACAGCCAGUGUUGGUUUGUUUAUGUCCUUGUAACUUACCGGUCCAGCCUACGAAACUUGGAAUAAGUAUCAGGCUUAGAAAACAAAAAAGGCCAGCACUGAUGUCAAUUUAAAAAAUUUUUUUUUUUAAUAGCUACUUCAUGCCAGUGCCCCAGCUUGGCCACAGUCUAAUGACUGAAACAAAAUAUAAAAGAUCUGCAUGUUAUUAAGUUCUAUUUGUUCUGCCAAACACACACACACUUCAUCCUCUUUCUCUUUUACGCCUGCAUCUUGCUCUCUCUCUCUCUCUCUCUCUUUUCCUCCCACCACCCACAUACCCUUAAUCUCCCCCCCCUCUCUUUGUUUCUUCUUUGUCUGGUGUCUAAAGUUAUGUCUGCCUCUCAUAAGCUACAUUGUUUCCGUUGUCUCUCCGCAUGUCUAGUUAUACAUGUUAAUGUUGUUGUUGUUGUUGUUGUUGUUGCUGCUGUUGCUGCUGCUGCUGUCGUCGUCGUCCCUCACCGUCCUUCCUCAUUGCCCACCUGUCACAUGUCUAGCCUUAGGUCACUAGCCAACAAACUACAGCAGAUCUCCACACUAGUAAAGUGCAGAAGUAGGUAGGGACACACACACACACACAUCUACUAUGAGGUAAGCUUAGGGUUAGCCUAGGGACCACAUGAUGGUAGUGGCAGUGGUAGUGGAGGUUAAUAGUGUAGAAAAAAAUAAAAAUACAAGGUGGUGGUGGUGGCGGUGACGACGAUGAUGAUGAUGAUGAUGAUGAUGAUGAUGAUGAUGAUGAUGAUGAUGAUGGUAGUGGUGGUGGUGGUGGUGGUGGUGGUGGUAGUGGUGGUGGUGGUAGUGGUGGUGGUGGUGAUGAUGAUGUGUAUAUGCACCAUUAGUCAUUCAUUAGUUACUGCUACUUGUUUUGGUUUUCAUUAUAUAUUUAUUUCUAGAUUACAUUUUAAUUAUUUUUCCAUGCAUCGAAAAUGUCUAUAUAAGGCAGACAAAGAUUUAGAAGAACCAUUAGGUUAAAAAAAGUGUUGGAUUUCAGUCUGCCUGCCUGCCUGUCUGUCUGUUUCAUUUACUGUUUGAUUUAUUUAAAAAAAAUUUUUUUUAUCAUAUAUAGGCGUAGGUGUGGCUGUGUAGUAAGAAGCUUCCUUCCCAAGCACAGGGUUCCGGGUUCAGUCCCACUGUGUGGCAUCUUGGGCAAGUGUGUUCUGCUAUACAUACAUACAUACAUACAUACAUACAUACAUACAUACAUACAUACAUACAUACAUACAUACACACACACACACACACACACACACACACACACACACACACGCACGCACGCACGCACGCACACACACACACACACACACACACACACACACACACACACACAUACAUACAUACAUACAUUAUUAUUAUUAUUAUUAUGGCUGCCCCUCAUUAUCGACUUUUAGCCCAGCUAAAGAUCUACAAUGUUUUGUACAGAAUUGGCAACUAAAACCUUUACCGGUAAUAGCCGACUGUAGUUGUAACUGGGCUUCAUGUACCUUUGCAUGUCGUUUAAGUCCUCCUGCCGAAUUACACUCUCUUCCACAUGUCCGACAGAUAUGAUUAGUAUGGUGUAUAAACACCACCACCAGUGGCCAGGUUGUCACUCAUCUGUCUCGCUUUAUGACUACGAAGAUGACUCUGGAGUCCAGCUUUACCGAGGCAGGGUCUUGCACAUACAUACAUACAUACAUACAUACAUACAUACAUACAUUAUUAUUAUUAUGGCUGCCCCUCAUUAUCGAGUAUGGCCAUUGCACGAAGCUUAACUGUCAUUGGGGCUGUGAUCGAAUGUGACUUUUUUGCCCAGCUAAAGAUCUACAAUGUUUUGUACAGAAUUGGCAACUAAAACCUUUACCGGUAAUAGCCGGCUGUAGUUGUAACUGGGCUUCAUGUACCUUUGCAUGUCGUUUAAGUCCUCCUGCCGAAUUACACUCUCUUCCACAUGUCCGACAGAUAUGAUUAGUAUGGUGUAUAAACACCACCACCAGUGGCCAGGUUGUCACUCAUCUGUCUCGCUUUAUGACUACGAAGAUGACUCUGGAGUCCAGCUUUACCGAGGCAGGGUCUUGCACAUACAUACAUACAUACAUACAUACAUACAUACAUACAUACAUACAUACAUACUCAUGCAUACAUACAUACAUACAUACUCAACUGGCAGCCUUCCACAUAGUUUCCGUGUAACAAAUUCCUUUCACAUGGCAUUGGUCAGCUCAAAGCAUCAGUAGAAUAUGCUUGCCCCAAGAAGUGCUGUAUGAUGGAACCAGGCCUUGAACACCCAGUUCCGUGGUUGUGAAGUGAGCCUCUUAACCGCCAAAGCCUUGCCUGCACUUUGCCAUCCUGCUCUUGCUACCAUUGCGAUUAUUCUGGCUUGCUGCUGCUGUUACUACUACUACUACUACUACUACUACUACUACUACUACUACCGCCACCACCACCACCACCUAUUUCUUUAUUACCCAUAAGGGGUUAAACACAGAAGGGACAAACAAGGACAGACAAACAGAUUAAGUUGAUUAUAUCGACCCCAGUGCGUAGCUGGUACUUAUUUAAUCGACCCCGAAAGGAUGAAAGUCAAAGUCGACCUCGGCGGAAUUUGAACUCAGAACGUAGCGGCUGAUGAAAUACCCAUUUCUCUAUUACCCACAAUGGGCUAAACAUAGAAGGGACAAACAAGGACAGACAUAGGUAUUAAGUCGAUUGCAUCGACCCCAGUGCGUAACUGGUACUUAAUUUAUCGACCCCGAAAGGAUGAAAGGCAAAGUCGACCUUGGCGGAAUUUGAACUCAGAACGUAGCGGCAGAUGAAAUACUGCUAAGCAUUUCGCCCGGCAUGCUAACUUUUCUGCCAGCUCACCGCCUUUACUACUACUACUACCACCACCACCACCAUCCACCCCUGUGCGCACACACUUGAAUGCAACUGAUUUUAUAGCUGUGUCAUUAAAUGCUUCCUCAAUAAACUGAACACUUACGUUUCCCCCCCUCACAUUCCAUUGUCCUUCUACCGUUUUAUUGUUUCGGAGUCACCAAAAAACAUUUGUAGUGCUUACACACACAUACAUAUAUCUAUAUAUAUAUAAUCCUUUGGUGGGAACUAGUCUUUCUUCUGCCUUUGAUUGUGCUUGUAAACUAUCUGUUAUGUAUGUGCAUGCAAAUGAGCACGAUAAUUUGUGCGUAAGACUCCUUGUUUGUGUAUAUGUGUGGAAAAAAUUACAUUUUUUUUCUUCUUUUUAUGCACAACGUCUCUGGGAACUACUUUUUGUAUAUACAAACAAUGAAACAACUAGCUUCUGUUAUACAAAAACAAUAAAAGAAAAAAACCAGUCACACAUAAAAUCAUUUCCUAUGUGUCUUAAUUAUUUUGUUCAUUAAACAGCAUAACGUUUAAUAGCUCGAUCUGUUAUUUCAGAUUUGAAAGCUAACAAACAUUAAUAAAUUUAUUAGUUUAUAUUGUGAAUUCUGUUGAUGUAUUAACCCUUUUGUUACUAUAUCUCUGCAGAAAUAUGCUGCCUUUGUUUGGUUUAACUUUGAAAAUAAUGAAGAAUUAUGUAAAAUAAACUUGUCAUUAUGAAGCUGGUGUUUGGAACAUAAACUAGCAUGAAAUUUUGGUGCUAAGGUUAUAACUUAAAACAGUGGUUUUUCAACCAUUUUUUUUUUUGCUAUGGACCCCGCUUUAAUUCUUAUUUCACUCAGGGUGGAACCCGCAUGACCCACCGACGUCUAAAAUCCCCUAUUAUAUUUUUAUGGUUAAGUAUUUUUUGGAAUUGUAUAAAAAAAUUGUUUGCUCUUUUUACUUUUACUUGUUUCAGUCAUGGGACUGUGGCCAUGCUGGAGCACCACCUUUAGUCGAGCGAAUUGACCCCGGUACUUAUUCUUUGUAAGCCUAGUACUUAUACUAUCGGUCUCUUUUGCCGAACCACUAAGUUACGAGGACGUAAACACACCACCAUCAGCUGUCAAGCGAUGUUGGGGGGACAAAUACAGACACACAAACAUAUAUACACACAUACAUACACACAUAUAUAUAUAUAUAUAUAUAUAUAUAUAUGAUGGGCUUCUUUCAGUUUCCGUCUACCAAAUCCACUCACAAGGUUUUGGUCAGCCUGAGGCUAUAGUAGAAGACACUUGCCCAAGGUACCACACAGUGGGACUGAACCUAGAGUCAUGUGGUUGGGAAGCAAGCUUCUUACCACACAGCCACACCUACACCUUAUAGAUAAAAAAUAUAUUAAGCCUAGUUUUUAGCUCUUUCACUAGCAGACCCACAGACAGACUGGAUGUGUGGGGUGGUUUGCAUGGGAAAAAAAUGAAUGUUGGUUUUAGUGUUGUUGGAGCUGGAACAGAAUGGUGUUAAAUCCUUGAUACAUCUGUCUACAAACAGGACCUUAAAACUUUGCAGUCGCCCUUGCAAUACAGUAAUAGCUGUACUGCAUUCAGUUUUAUGAGGUACAUUUUUAUGAGCCACCAAUACUGACUGGACCAGGAUGGGACAGAGGACAGCAUCAAAGGAAAAUGCCCAUUAAAUGUAUUAAAUAUGUUACUGUUUUGCCCUCCCUUGCAUUGGUAGUUUAUGACAUUAUAUGUUACUGCUACCCUCCUUACAUUGGUAGUUUAUGGUCCUGAUGUUUUAAUGUAGUUUUCUGACAUCUGUAGUUUGUGAGGAAGAGAGAAAUAAAGAACAAUUUCAUGAGAAUAUUUUUUGUUAGAAAAACAGGGGAGGGAGAAGAAAUCUGUUAGGUUAGCAAAGUGGGUUAGUGUAGCCAGUAAAAAAAAACCCUGAGGUUUUCUUUUUUAACUUGAUAUACAAUGAUGCCUCACCAUAUCAUGAUUCACCUGUCGCAGACGGCGAUUCCUCUGUGGUUUUGUUUUGUAUUUAUAAUAAAAUAAAUAUAUAUACAAGUUAAAAAAAUAAUUAAAAAAAAUAUACAGUACACAUGAAAACAUAGGCGUAGGAGUGGCUGUGUGGUAAGAAGCUUGCUUACGAACCACAUGGUUCCGGGUUCAGUCCCACUGCGUGGCACCUUGGGCAAGUGUCUUCUACUAUAGCCUCGGGCCGACCAAAGCCCUGUGAGUGGAUUUGGUGGACGGAAACUGAAAGAAGCCCAUCGUAUAUAUAUAUAUAUAUAUAUAUAUAUAUAUAUAUAUGUGUUUUUUUUUGUAUGUGUAUAUGUUUGUGUGUCUGUGUUUGUCCCCCCAACGUCGCUUGGCAACCGAUGGUGGUGUGUUUACGUCCCCGUAACUUAGCGGUUCGGCAAAAGAGACCGAUAGAAUAAGUACUAGGCUUACAAAGAAUAAGUCCUGGGGUCGAUUUGCUCGACUAAAAGGUGGUGCUCCAGCAUGGCCACAGUCAAAUGACUGAAACGAGUAAAAGAGAGUACAGUAUUGUUUCUACCUUCAUGGAUUUUUCAUCUAUCACAGUGGGGCUGGAGGUGAAACAUAACCCCCACGGUAGUCAAGGAAUUACUGUAUCUAGAAUACUGGUAUUUUUUUGAUUUCUAGAAAUCAAUUAUAUACAUCAUUAUCAUCCUCUUAUCAUCAUCAUCAUCAUUGCUGUGUUCAUCAUCUAUAUCAUCUAUACCUAUAUUCCCACUACCGACGCCACCACCACCACCAUCACCACCAUCAUCACCAUCAUCAUCAUCAUCAUCAAUAUUUUUCUCAUUGCUCUUAUCGUUAACAUUUUCAACUUCAUGUUCUGAAUAUAUAUUAAUAUUUAAAAAAAUUAAAAUUUUCUCACUUAAUUUUCGUCAGUGUUCUUUCUCGUUAGAUUGGAGAGAUAUACAGAGAAAUUAAUUUUGACUCUUUCGCUGAAAAUUGAUUAAAAUGUCUAAGUACUGUCACCAUCAUCAAACAGCCAAUUGCCAUGCUUUCCAUGUGUGAUUAAAAUAUUCCGUUUGCUACCAGCCAUGUAGUUUAGAUUUUGGCCCUACUGUGUGUCAACUUGGGCGAGUGUCUUCUGCUAUAACCUCAGGGUUGACCAGUACCUUGUGAGUGAAAUUGAUUGGUGAAAACUAUGCAGAAGCCUGUUGUGUGUUUGGGUAUGUGGUGUAUUGCUGUGCUCAAGAAGUCUUGUUCACCACAACAAAAUUGAGAUCCUCAAACCAAGAUCAUUCAUCAUUAUCUAACGUCCGCUUUCCAUGCUAGCAUGGAUUGGAUGAUUUGACUGAGGACUGGUGAACCAGAUGGCUGCACCAGGCUCCGAUCUGAUUUAGCAGAGUUUCUACAGCUGGAUACCCUUCCUAAUGCUAACCACUCCGAGAGUGUAGUGGGUGCUUUUUACGUGCCACCGGCACGAGGGCCAGUCAGGCGGAACUGGCAACGGCCACUCUCAAAUGGUGCUUUUUAUGUGCCACCUGCACAGGAGCCAGUCCAGUGGCACUGGCAACGACCGCACUUGAAUGUUUUUUCAUGUGCCACCAGCACAAGUGCUAGUAAGGUGACGCAGGUAAUGGUCACGCUUGAAUGGUGUUUUUAAUGUGCCAUCAGCAUGGAAGCCAUCUUGUUGCUCUGGCAACGAUCCCACUUGUAUAUGGUACUCUUAGCACUCCAUGGAUAAAAGCAUGAGUGUGGGUGCUGGUGCCACUUAAAAAGCAUCCAGUACACUCUGUAAAGAGACUGGUGUUAGGAAGGGUGUCCAGCUAUAGAAAUCAAGCCAAAACACAAUUAUGGAACCUAGUGCGGCCCGUGGCCUUGCCAAUUCUUGUCAAGCCAACAAACACAUGCCAGAAUAGAAAACGGACAUUAAAUGGUGGUGGUGGUGGUGGUGGUGGUGGUGGUGGUGGUGGUGGUGGUGGUGGUGGUGGUGGUGGUGGUGGUGGUGGGUGAUGCUGCAUGCACAUGCAUGGGCCUGCAUAAAUGUUUAUAAACCUGUGCAGAAGCCUGUUGUUUGUUUGGGUAUGUGGUGUAUUGCUCGUUAGCACGCCGGGCGAAAUGCUUAGCAGUAUUUCGUCUGUGGUUACGUUCUGAGUUCAAAUUCCGCCGAGGUCGACUUUGCCUUUCAUCCUUUUGGGGGUCGAUUAAAUAAGUACCAGUUAUGCACUGGGGUCGAUAUAAUCGACGACUUAAUCCAUUUGUCCCCUCUGUGUUUAGCCCCUUGUGGGUAAUAAAGAAAGAGUAUUGCUUACUCAAGAAGACUUGUUCACCACAACAGAAUUGAGAUCCUGAAACCAAGAUCAUCAUCAUCAUCGUUUAACGUCCGCUUUCCAUGCUAGCAUGGGUUGGACAAUUUGACUGAGGACUGGCAAACCAGAUGGCUGCACCAGGCUCCAAUCUGAUCUAAAUAUUAGGUCUCAUAUGCUCAGCAAAAACCUUUCCUGGUAGUGUCUGGGGAUGCCCGUAGUCCAGUGACUGAAAAGAAAUUUUUUAUUCUUUUCAUUUAUUGGACUGAAAAAGUAUUUAAAAAAAACAAUAUAUGAAAGAAAAGAUAUGGCUUUAAAAAAAAUAAUCUUGGAAUGAAUUUUUUUUUUUUUCUCUUUCAUCGUCCAUUAGAAGUUAUUUAAUACAGUUUUGAGUUAACAAGCGAUUGGUAGUAUUUUAACUGAUAUAUAUAUAUAUUAAAAAUACAAUUUUAAAAAAACUCCACAAAAAAAUCAAAAUUAUUUUCAACCCUCCUUUUGUCUUCCAAUCCAAUCCUUUUCUUUUCUUCUGUCCACCAUCCUCAAAUUUUGCUACUGUAGAUUUCUCCUGUUUCAACCAAUACAGAGAGAGAGAGAGAGACCAAGUAAGAGUAUAAAAUACCAAAAAACAAUUAUAAAUUACUUCCAGCUGUCUUGUUUGUUUAUUCUAUCCUUCUUGUUGUUAUUGUUGUUGUUCUUCUUAUUAUUAUUAUUAUUAUUAUUAUUAUUAUUAUUAUUAUUAUUAUUAUUAUUAUUAUCAUUUAUCCUUUAUCCUUUAUCCUGCUGGUCCCUUCUCUCUUUCAUCUCCUUUCAUCACCAUGUCUUAUUCCGAAACCCACCCCAUAUUUUUCUAAUGCAGAUAAUUCUUAUUUACUUAAUUUGUUCAGAUGGUUGGCCGAGACAGUUGACACACUGCUCUGCCCUCACAAUAUCUUCCUCAUUCUAUCAGGCAAAAACCAGCGGUGAUGGUGAUGGUGAUGGUGAUGGUGGUGGGGGAGAUUUUUUAUCAAACAAGUUAAAUGAAUGCCUGGAAGGAAUUAAUUGAAUUAGCCCCUAAGAUUGUGGCACAUCCAGACUACCAGGGAGCCAGCUGUUGGCAGUUCAACAGGAUUAAUAAUGAUUUUUUUUUUCAUGUUGUAUAAGUAAUGGGCUAAAUAAUAAGGCUGAUCUAAUUGACAGUUGACCCUAUAUCUAGAACCUUGAAAAAAAAUUAAACGCUGGGGCGGCUGUGUGGUAAGGAGCUUGAUUCCAAACCACAUGGUUCUGAGUUCAGUCCUGCUGUGUGACACUUUGAGCAAGUGUCUUCUACUAUACUCUUUACUCUUUUACUCUUUUACUUGUUUCAGACAUUUGACUGUGGCCAUGCUGGAGCACUGCCUUUAGUCGAGCAAAUCGACCCCAGGACUUAUUCUUUGUAAGCCCAGUACUUAUUCUAUCGGUCUCUUUUGCCGAACUGCUAAGUGACGGGGACUUAAACACACCAGCAUCGGUUGUCAAGCAAUGCUAGGGGGACAAACACAGACACACAAGCACACACACAUAUAUAUAUAUAUAUAUACAUAUAUACGACAGGCUUCUUUCAGUUUCCGUCUACCAAAUCCACUCACAAGGCAUUGGUCGGCCCGGGGCUAUAGUAGAAAGCACUUGCCCAAGAUGCCACGCAGUGGGACUGAACCCGGAACCAUGUGGUUGGUUAGCAAGCUACUUACCACACAGCCACUCCUGCGCCUAUAGUCAGUUUCUUUAUUAACCAUGAGGUUGAGAAAAAGAGGGGACGAUACAAGGACAGACAAAACAAACAUUGGGGUCAGGGUAUCGAAUGAGACGAAACGUAUGAAUAAACCAGUGCUUUUCAACCUUUUUGCUGGAGCAGAACCCCAAGGAAUCAUUCCACUGGCUCGAGGAACCCCUGUGCAAUAAUUUAAUAGCCUUAUGCACACAUAUCUGCACAGGAGAAUUAAAAAUUACUGCCGAUUUUAGCAGUUUUGUAACUUCUUGCAGAACCCCUGGACUGUACUGGCGGAACCAUAAGGUUCCGUGGAACCCUGGUUGAAAACCACUGGAAUAAACAAACAAUUAAAAUAUAUACAAUUAAAUGAGAAUGAGUGAUUUACAAAAAAUGAGGCGGAGGACGUGUCUUGGGCCAACAAAUGCCCUGGUGAGAGGAUUUAGUAGAGGGAAACUGAAAGAAACUUGUCAUACAUAUUAUAUGUAUGUGUGUGUGUCUUUAUGUCUGCAUUUGUCCCCCAACACUGAUUGAUGACUGGUGAUGAUGUGUUUACAUCUCCAUAGCUUUGCAGUUCAGCAAAAGAGACUGAUAGAAUAAAUACCAGUCUUCAAAAUAAGUAAUGGGAUCAAUUAGUCCAAUAAUAAUUCCUUAGGGCAGUGCCCCAGCAUAGCUGCAGUCUAAUGACUGCAAUGAAUAAAGAAAGAAAGAAACAAACAAACAAACAAAAGAAGGAUGAGAGGGAAGAAGGAAGAAAGGAAGGAUCUAUUUUAUUUAGUAGGGUCUUACAUAUGUAGUAAGUUUGUAAGCUUCAAUCCAUUAAGAUUAUAAAGGGAGGGCAGUGAGCAAUCCUCUUUGGGACAUGAUUUCAGCCUUAUUUGACCUCAUCAGUGAAGGAUUGUUCACUUACAGCUGCCGAUGUUUAUAUUAAUCCGUUGACAUUCAGGUUAUUCUGUCUAAUGUAAUCCUUAUUUAUUUACAUUGUUUAGAAUUACUGAUGCAUUAUCCUUUUGCAUUGAGAUUUCAAUGAUGUGCUUGUUUAAUUUUAGUAUGACAUCAUAGGGUAGGUGUUAGAGGCUGAAUUUGGCCAGUUUGAACAUGAAACAAGAAUAAUAUUUGGGCCGGGUUAAUUUGGCUGGUUUAGAUGCUAAAGGGUUUAUCUAUUAGGUUGUCCGGAAAGUUGGUGCCAAUUUUUAAAGGAAAGAAAAAGGUCAAUAAAUACUUGCCAUUACAUUUUUAAUCAACCAAAUAUGAACCAUUUUGUUGCACAAUGCGUCUCCAUCUUUCCUUUAAAUUGAAAAUACCCUCUGCCCAGAAUUGAGGUGGUUUCAUGGCAAAGAAUUCAUCAAGGUUAUCUUUUUACGUCAUCCAAGGAAUUGAAAUUUUUACCAUUCAGACUAUUCUGCAGAGACCUGAAUAAGUGGAAUAAGACCUGAAUAAGUGGAUGUCUGAAGGAGCAAUAUCUGGUGAAUAUGGAGGAUGGGCUACUCUAACUGGGCCCCCACCUGCAAGGUCAUCUGCUGUUUAUCUUGAUAUGAGAUCACCAUGUCGCCAACAUAUGGUUGUGAUGCAUGUGCCUGGUAUACCCUUUUCAGACGGGUAGUCAUGAUGGGUAUACUGGGCUCCGGUGAGCUGGCAGACACGUUAGUGCCCCAGGCGGAAUGCUUCACGGUAUUUCGUCUGUCAUUACGUUCUGAGUUCAAAUUCCACCGAGGUCGACUUUUCCUUUCAUCCUUUCGGGGUCGAUAAAUAAAAGUACCAGUCUCGCACUGGGGUCGAUGUAAUCGACUUAAUCCCUUUGUUUGUCCUCUCUAUGUUUAGCCCCUUGUGGGCAAUAAAGAAAUAUAUAUUUUACCCCAGUGUCACUUUGAUGGCAUGCACUAUCCUCUCACUCAAUAAUAAUAAUAAUAAUAAUAAUAAUAAUGAUAAUAAUAAUCAUAAGGAUGAAUAGUGAUGGUGCUAUGUGUUUUGAUCAUAGGAUUGCUCAAUAUGAAAUGACCUAGGGUUAAACAACAGCAACAAACAUUUCUAUUAAUACUGCAAAUAACAAUGAUUGUAAUAAUAAUAAUAAUAAUAAUAAUAAUAAUGAGUUUAAUAAGAAACCUUCAACAUUUUAUUAAUGAAAAAUAAUUUUUUUCUUCUCAUUAUUACAAAUUUCCGAGGUGUAAUUUAAUUGCUUUGAAAUUGUCUCUUCAUUUCUCAAAAUUGAGUUUUUCUUCUUCUCACUGAAACCGGUUGCCCACUUUCUCUUCUCUCACAUUGUAGCAGCACCGUCUUCACCGUUCUGGGGCCCUUGACAUCGUGGUUGUCUUAGAACUGUGACUUGAAAAGAAUACUUGCGAUUUCCAAUUCUGUGAAAUUAAUUAAUUCUUCCAAGUUUAUGAAAUUAAAAUUUCUCAACAAUGUGAUCCUAUUUUGACAGCAAUUAAAUAUUCUUUUAAAUUAAGAUGUAUACAUGUGCAUUUGUGUGUGUGUGUGUGUGUGUGUAUGCAUCACGGGUAUGUGUGUGCAUCAUGAGUAUAUUUAUGUGUGUGUGCAUUAUGAGUAUGUUUUGUGUGCAUGCGUAUGUACAAGAUUAUUCUUUUACUCUUUUACUUGUUUCAGUCAUUUGACUGCGGCCAUGCUGGAGCACCGCCUUUAGUCGAGCAAAUUGACCCCAGUACUUAUUCUUUGUAAGCCUAGUACUUAUUCUAUGGGUCCCUUUUGCCGAGCUGCUAAGUUACGGGGACGUAAACACACCAGCAUCGGUUGUCAAGCAAUGCUAGAGGGACAAACAGAGACACACAAUCAUACACACACACACACACACACACAAACAUAUGCAUAUAUAUAUAUAUAUAUACAUAUAUACGACAAGCUUCUUUCAGUUUCUGUCUACCAGAUCCACUCAUAAGGCCUUGGUCGACCCAAGGCUAUAGUAGAAGACACUUGCCCAAGGUGCCACGCAGUGGGACUGAAGCCGGAACUAUGUGGUUCAUAAGCAAGCUACUUACCACACAGCCACUCCUAUGCCUACAUAUAUGUAUACAUCCAUAUGUAUACACACACACACACACACACACCAAGGCAUUUACUGCAAAGGUAAUGGAAUCAGUAACAUCAGUGAGUUACUAAAACACUUCCAAUUUGCAAACAACAUCUUACUUUUUGUCGACAUAUUAAAUUCACUGACAGAGUUGGGUACUUUGAGUUAGCAGUUUAGCAACAGGGCUGAAAUUAACCUUUAGCUCACUGUAUGAGCUUUCACCAUAUGAAUUUUCUCCCCUGUAGUAACAGGGCAGUGACAGGGGAAACAGUUCUAGUGAAAAUGCUGUGCGCUAAAGGUUAAACAUGUAGAUAAAUUUGUUAUUAUUUAUUUAUACGCCCUUUUCAAGCUUAGCCAGGCUCAUGGACCCAGUUUCCCGGUUUCUGUGGCAUAUGUGUUCCCCCCCCCCCCCAGCUGGACAGGACUUCAGUCCAUCGCAGCAUUACCCAAGAAACAGGAAGAGAGAGUGAGAGAAAGUUGGGGUGAGCAAGUACAACAGGGGUGCCCCCUCCUGCCGGAGCCUCGUGGAGCUUUAGGUGUUUUCGCUCAAUAAACACACACAACACCCAGUCUGGGAAUCGAAACCGCGAUCCUAUGACCGUGAAUCCGCUGCCCUAACCACUGGGCCAUUGCACCUCCAGAUAAAUUUAUACAGUAUGAAAAUGUAGCACAAGCUGAAUAGAGGAGGGAAGUAUUGAGAGAGGAUGUGAAAGAGUAAUAUAUAUAUAUACAUGCCAAGACAUGAGUGUUGAAAUUUCGUGCCGAGUAAGAGCCAGAUGGAAGACAUUUGCUUUGAUUAACCCUUUAGCGUUUAGAUGACUCUGUCAAAUGUAAAGGGUAAAAAAAGAGUAAAGACCUUCUUCGGUCAUGAAAGGGUAAAAAAGAGUAAAGACCUCCUUCAGUCAUGAAUGAAAGUUGAGAUUGUAUCUAGAAAAUUACCAUCCGAGGCACAAAUCUGCACAAGGCUGUUUAUUGAAGACCAGCAGUCACCCAUUCAUACCAGGCUCCCCUCUAUAUGUCAUUGAUGUUAUCGAAGAGAAAGGGAAAGGCCAAUACAGCCUGGCACCAGUGACAUCAGAAUUCAUUUCUACAGCUGAGUGAACUGGAGCAAUGUGAAAUUAAAGUGUCUUGCUCAAGAACACAACACACAACCCAGUCUGGGAAUCAAACUCACUACCUCAUGAUAGUGAGUCUGACACUCUAACCACUGAGCUACAAGCCUGUGUAAUAUAAUGCUUAUUUAUUCACAGUUUUGAAUUAAUCAGGCAUUAUAUUGUAGCUUCAAGAUUUUGAUUACAUGAUUUGUUUUGUUUUUAGAAUGGCCUUGUAGGAUUGGUGUCAGGUCUGGCUGGUUUGGAUAUGAAACAAUGUAGAAUAUUUGGGAUUGGUAUGACUGGAUUAACCCUUUAGUAUUUAAACCAGCCAUAUCCGGCCAAAAUAGUUAAUCUGUUUUAUGUUCAAACUGACCAGAUCCAGGCUCUCACACCUACCCUACAAUGUUAUUCUACAUUAAGUAAUUACACCAUCAAGAUCUUGAAGAUAUGAGAUAAUGCAUGAUUAAUUCAAAUUAAUGGGAAUCAAUAGGCAUUAUGUUUGAUUGAAUAAUCUGAACACUAAAGGGCUACAGAUGUGCUCUAAGUCCAGCUUAACAAAGACCCAAUGUACCAAUCUCUUCAGUGGCACUGUCCUAUCUUUACUCUUAUAUGCUAGUGAAAUAUGGACUGCUACGAAGAAGGAAGAACAGCAAUAGGUUACAGUAGUGAUGGCCAUGGAGAGAUCCAUGCUAGAAAUAUUACUGUGGGAAUAUAUCUCAAGAACGGAGUGGAGCGAAUGAAGUGACUGCUGAAUCCUGAAAUCAAGCUCUGCUGGGCUGGACCUUGUCACAAGGUUCACAGACAAGAGGUGGAGGAGUGAAGUUGUUGUGUAGUUGUUAGUGGUAUCCAAGAGACCAUUCAGAAGACUCUCUCUAUGUAAAGGGAAAAUAUAGCCAAACAAUUCAGGCCCCCAACAGGUUAACCUUUUAGUAUUCAGAUUACCCUAUCAAAUGUAAUUUUUUAUUUUAUUUAUAUGGUUUCAUUGCCAGUACUGCUUGACUGGCCCCGUGCCGGUGGCACGUAAAAAGCACCCACUACACUCUCGGAGUGGUCGGAAUUAGGAAGGGCAUCGAGCUGUAGAAACUCUGCCAGAUCAAGAUUGGAGCCUGGUGCAGCCAUCUGGUUCGCCAGCCCUCAGUCAAAAUCGUCCAACUCAUGCUAGCAUGGGAAGCGGAUGUUAAAUGAUGAUGAUGAUGAUGAUGGCUUUGAAUUAUCCAUGCAUUUUCUCAUAGCUGUAAGAUUUUCAUGAUACGACCCUUUAUUUCAGGAACGAUAUUGCAGGCUCAGUGUAAGAGGUUGAAUCUAGCUGGUUUAAACACAAAGGAAGUAGAAUAUUUAGGCCAAAUAUGGCCAGUUUGAAUGCUAAAUGGUUAAUGGAAAUGUUCUGGUGGAUAGGGGUAUCUAUGAAACAAGCUUUCUCUUCCCCACUUUGUGAACUAUAAUUGCUUCCACAAUCAUUCUUAAUUUAAAUGUAGUUUCUUUUUCCUUUUUCGUUUUCUUUUCUUUUUUUUUUCUAUUUUAGUCUCUUUCAAUGAGGGUGGAAUGAUAAAAUGGACAAGAUAUUGCCCUGGCUUGUUGCUUAAUAGUUUCACUCCUUCUGUGUUUAUUUUCAUGCAUUCCACUCGCCAAGGUGAAUUAGAUCCUAGAAUUUUCUGGACAGUAAAUUUUCUGGACAUAGGCACAGGAGUGGCUGUGUGGUAAGUAGCUCGCUUACCAACCACAUGGUUCCAGGUUCAGUCCCACUCCGUGGCAUCUUGGGCAAGUGUCUUCUACUAUAGCCUCGGGCCGACCAAAGCCUUGUGAGUGGAUUUGGUUGACGGAAACUGAAAGAAGCCUGUUGUAUAUAUGUAUAUAUACAUGUAUAUAUGUAUAUAUAUAUGUGUGUGUGUGUGUUUGUGUGUCUGUGUUUGUCCCCCUAGCAUUGCUUGACAACCAAUGCCGGUGUGUUUAUGUCCCCGUCACUUAGCGGUUCGGCAAAAGAGACCGAUAGAAUAAGUACUGGGCUUGCAAAGAAUAAGUCCCGGGGUCGAGUUGCUCGACUAAAGGCGGUGCUCCAGCAUGGCCGCAGUCAAAUGACUGAAACAAGUAAAAGAGAGUAACCUGUCAUAAUAAGAGUACUGUUUUGUCGAAGGCGAGGUUAAUGCGGCAUUGUAUUCAGUGCCAUGGAAACCUGAAGUGACCCUUGUAGGUAGAUGUCUCUGAAUGUGAUUGACGGAAUUGCUAAUGUUCCCGGUGUGAGCUUCAAACACGAAAAUAUCUUUUGUUAUAAUUUGACAAGGUUACACAAAAAUUGUGCUAAUGAGUCUGUAUAGAGUAUUAGCAUAAUUGAAUCAGUGACUGGCUUCGUUAGCGAGUCGAGAAACACGACUGGCUGAAUCAGUGAUGAUGAUGCUGAUGAUGAUGAGGAUGUAGAUUAUGAUAGGAAGAGAAAAAAAAUGCUGCUGCUAUUACUUUCACUACUAGUAUAACUAAUAAUAAUAAUAAUAAUAAUAAUAAUAAUAUUGUUUUAAUUACUCACAAGACCAUCGAUUUAUAGCAGCUAUAAAAUUAGAUUGUGCAAAAUUUCAUACCUUUUUAAAUAGCACUUUGAAGGCUUAAGAACAGUGAAGAAUUAAGAACAAAGGAUGAAGACCUAGUCUUAGAGCAAAUUUAGCAAAACGUUGAAGCCAGUUUUUGUAAGAGGAAAGAAUAUUGUUCAUUCAAUCAGCAUUUGAUCCUGUGAAUUACUGGGCUGAGCCAGUUAUUCAACAAGAGAUUUACAACCUGCUACAAAUAUCUGCCAACUCACACCAAAAAAUUAGAGGACACACUGGAUUGUGUAAUCAUAGAUACACUAUGCCAGAAAGAAAGAUGGUAUGUUCCAUGGUGGAAUUUAGAUAAUAGGUUCUCCUUGGUUGGGGCUGACCAGGGACUAAGUCGGCCUUGGUGGUAUUUAAAAAUAUAUAUACCUUAAGGGCACAGAAAGUGUGCCUAAAGCCAGCUUGGAGGAGAUGUUCUCUUGGGGCUACAAGCUACAGUAACACCCACCCUUAGUGGUUAGCCGUAUUGAGAUGGCAAAUAUACCUCAUAUUGUCGUGCAGUUACUGUUUAUACCUCGUUCAGAGAUGUAUUAUUGCUUGCAUGCAGUUUUUCGAGAUCAGUGACGAAAAGUUACUGGAAAAACGUUAUAAGGAUUUGCAUUGGGACCCCUUUCAUUGUAAACUGGUGAUUGUCGUACGCUGAUGACGGGUCAAUACCCAGAAACUGCAGUCCGCACGUAUCACUUAGGUUGACGAGGGAAGGAUGACCUCCCUUUGCAAAUACCUUAAGGGCACAGAAAGUGUGCCUAAAGCCAGCUGGAGGAGAUGCUCUCCUGGGGCUACUAGCUACAGUAACACCCACCCUUAGUGGUUAGCCAUAUUGAGAUGGCAAAUAUACCUCACAUUUUUGAAAAAUAUUGUCUUUAAAAUGGGCACAUUGCACUUAGGUAUACAAAAAAAAUGGUUAUGGUUAGGAUGCUUUGACUAUAGAUUUGGUUAAUCAGGGUAAACUUGGGAACCAAACAGCAAGUUCUGUAAUAAAUUUUAAUGACUUCUAGCAUACAUAAAUGCCAGGCCUCACAUUUUGAAAGAGGAUAAAUCUGCCUACUCAAGGUAUAUGUGGGAGCUAAAUAACAAGUUCUGUAAUAAAUUUUAAUGAUUUCAAGCCUAGGUAAAUGCCAGGCCUCACAUUUUGAGAGAGGAUAAAAUUAACCUUAGUAUUUAACUGGUACUUUAUUUUAUUGGACCCUGUGAGGACGACAAGCUAGAUUAAUCUCAGGAUUCAAACUCAGUACAUAACUAAGUAUCUUAUUUUGUUCAUCACUCUAAUGAGCGUAUCAAUCAAUUAAUAAUACAAAUAUUAUUCAAACUUGUGAAAUAUAAUGCUUAUUUAUUCACAUUGUUUUGAACUGACUUUGCAUUAUCUUGUUGCUUUAAGAUUUCGAAUGAUGUUAUUGUUUGUUUUUAGAACAACAGUAUAGGCGUAGGAGUGGCUGUGUGGUAAGUAGCUUGCUUACGAACUUCAUGGUUCUGGGUUCAGUCCCACUGCAUGGCACCUUGGGCAAGUGUCUUCUACUGUAGCCUCAAGCCAAAGAAGCCUGUCGUGUAUAUGUAUGUGUGUGUGUAUGUUUGUGUGUCUGUGUUUGUCCCAGCACCACCACUGCUUCACAAGUGGUGCUGGUGUGUUCACGUCGCUGUAACUUAGUGGUUCGGCAAAAGAGACCAAUAGAAUAAGUACCAGGCUUUAGAAAAACAAAAGUAUUGGGGUUGAUUUAUUCGACUAAAAGUUCUUCUAAUGACUGAAACAAGUAAAAGAAUAAAAGAAUAUUGAAGCUUACUUCCUGAUCUUGUAGUGUUGGAUUCAGUCCCGCUGCACAACAGCUUGGGCAAGUGUCUCCUACUAUAACCCUGGGUCAAUUAAAGUCUUGUGAGUGGAUAUAAUAGGCAGAAACUGAAAAGAAGCUCAUCAUAUAUGUGUUGUUUGUAAACAAGCACCACUGUCAUAUAGGCAGUGUUGUUCAUUUCCAGUCUUCUGUGAAAAACAUGUCCGGCUAAGGGGAGAGCACCAAGAAGAGCACUUGGCCACAAAAUAUUUGCAUCAACAAAUUCCUUCUAACCCAUGCAGGUUUGGAAAAAUGGACGUUAAGCAGCAAUGAUAUUGGUGGCAAACACUGUCUGUGACAGAAUCAUUCUAUUCUGUUGAAUUUUGAAUGACUUAUGCAAUAAUUAAAGGAAUAGUCAGUAGAAAAGUGGGCUUUAGAAAUAUGAUUAUCUUAUAUUUAAUUAUUGAUUUACAGUGCUUUUGUCUUCUAGCAGGCAAAUUGGGUUGAUUUUUUUUUUUUUUGCAGAACUGUGAUACGAAGCUCUGCAAAACUACAUUUAUUAUUAAUUCUGCGUUUUGCCGUAAUUGUUUUAUAGCAUUACAGUUAACAGUUUCGACUGUUACUCAACCUGCUAAUAUGCCUAUUAAUGAAAUACUGUGACGUUCUUUUUAAAGAAAUAAGCAGUCCUAGAGGCAGAUGGCUGAUGGUGGGGUGUAAGUAGGUGGUGGUGGUGGUAGUAUGGAAAUAUCUGUGUCUUCUCUAUCUCUUCCAAUUCUACGCUGUUGUUUGUUUGUUUGUAUGUUUGUUCCAUGUCCGUUCCGCUAUUUUUGUUAUGUUUGUGGAGAAGUAUUUUUGACAGAAUAUUUGGUUAGCUACUAUCUUUUACUUGGGGAGGCACAUGGCUUAGUGGUUGGGGCACUCAGCUCAUGAUCAUAAAGUCACGGGUUGUGUCCUUGAGCAAGACACUUUAUUUCAAGUUGCUCCAGUCCAGUCAACUGGCAGAAAUGAGUAGGACCUUAACCCUUUCGUUACUGUAUUUAUUUUACUAUGUGUUUCUUUCAAUUACUUUAAAUAUAACAAAGAAUUUAGUAAAACAACUUAGUUAUCAUUCAGCUAGUAUUAGGAAUAUAAAUUGCUACUAAGGUUUGGUGGUAUAUUUUGAUGCAAAACUUAUGAAAACAAGACAUUUGUACUACAGAGCCGGAGCCGGUUUUGGCCGGGUUGGUAACGAAAGGGUUAAGCUAGUGUCAGGAACAUAAAUCGUGACUAAGGCUUGGUGGAAAAUUUUAAUUCAAAACUUAUGAAAACAAGAUAUUUGUACUCAGAGCCAGAGCUGGUUUCAGCCGGGUUGGUAUUGAAAGGGUUAAGGCGGCAAGCUGGUAGAAACGUUAGCACGCUGGGCGAAAUGCUUAGCAGUAUUUCGUCUGCCGUUACGUUCUGAGUUCAAAUUCCGCCGAGGUUGACUUUGCCUUUCAUCCUUUCGGGGUCGAUUAAAUAAGUACCAGUUAUGCACUGGGGUCAAUGUAUUCGACUUAAUCCUUUUCUCCGUCCUUGUUUGUCCCCUCUAUGUUUAGCCCCUUGUGGGCAAUAAAGAAACAAGAAAUGAGUAGUACCUGUAUUUGAAAGGGCCAGCUUUGUCACAUUUUGUGUCACACUGAUUCUCCCUGAGAACUAUGUUAAAGAUAAGUACCAGGCUUUUAAAAAAAAAAAGGUCCUGGGGUGGGGCGAUUCAUUCAACUAUAAUUCUUCAAAGUGGUGCCCCAGCAUGGCCGCAAUCUAAUGACAGAAACAAGUAAAUGAUAAAUUCAUAGCAAUAUUUGAUUAUAAAGAUAUAACAGGAUUUUUUAAGCAUUGAAUGGCUAUAAGAGUCUAGCCAAGUAUAAGAUGAGUCAAAGAGGGACAGGGUCUAUAGGUAAAAAAUGGUUGAGAGAACCACUUGUCUAGAAUAUUGUAGUUUCACAUUUCCUGAGAUUGUCUUCAGGUGUGAUAAACCAGUCAUGUUCUCUGUGACUAGUAUCUGAAAGAGAAAAUGCCAAUGGAUCAAUGUUGAGGAAACAAGACAUUUUCUAUUAAUAAAAACUUACAGCAGGAGUAAAGAGGGGGAAAUAUCAAUGUUUAUGAUUAAUUUAAAUGAACAAAGUGAACAAAAUAUUUUUUUUAAAAAGUGGGAAAUUUAAAAUGAUUGAGAUCAAUUGAAUGUAGAAUGCAAUAAAAAGUGACUCUGAUCUUUUACUGCAGGGCAUCAACUCUGUACAGGUUUCAGUCUGAUUAGACUUCAUCAGCAAAAUGUCUUACCUAGUGAACAGAAACUGAAACUCUGUGUGUGUGAUAGAUAGAUAGAUAGAGAGAGAGAGAGAGAGAGAGAUUGAAUGUGUGUGUCGAUAUAUAUACACAGACACUCACACACACACACACACACACACACACACACACACAUACAUACAUACAUGGACACAAAGCAGAUUUCUUUUAGUUUCCAUUUAUUAAACCCACUUAUGAGACCUCGGUUGACUUGCACCUAUUGGGGAAGGCACUUGCCCAAGGUAGUACACAGUGGAAGCGAACCCAAGACCACUUGGUUUGGAAGCAAACCUCUCACCCACAUGGCUAUGUCUUCCGCCUCCUCCUCCUAUGUGGUGCAGUGGUUCAUGUUUUUUUUUGUUUUUCUUUGUAUCUUUACAUUAAGCACAAAUUGUAGAUGGUAUAUAGCAUUAAAAUAAACGGUAAGUUAGAAUAAAUAAACCAAUGGAAAAAUAAAAAGACAAAACGAGAAUAAAGUUACUUACAAAAUAAAGCAAUGACAAAAAACAUACAUGUAUGUAUAUAUGUAUAUAUACAUAUAUAUAUGUAUAUAUACAUAUAUACAUAUAUAUAUACAUGUAUAUAUACAUGUAUAUAUAUAUAUCUGUGUGUUAUAUAUAUAUAUAUAUAUAUAUAUAUACAUAUUUAUUUAUUUUUAUAUAUAUAUAUAUAUAUAUAUAUAUAUUUAUUUAUAUAUAUAUUUAUAUUAUAUUAUAUUAUAUGUCACUAGUAUAAUGAAGUAUUGCGGUAAGUUUCAUUAAGUCUAUAGGUACUGAAAUGCUUAUUAUUCCAAAUAUAACAGUUGAUGUUUUCUACAAUGUGUCUGUCUUGAAAGAACAAUGGCUAUAAUCACGGCAGAAAUGAUACUUCGAGACUAAUAACACUAUACAUCAACGCUCACAUUUAUAUCGCAAAUAUCCAGUAAAAAAAAAGGAAAAUAAAGAAAUAUGUUACACGACAUUAACCAAAAGUAAAUAAGUAAAUAGUAAUGAAUAAAUAAAUAAAUGAAUGAAAGAAACUGAUUGAGUUACUAAUGAAGAAGAUAGUAGUAAGACACGGUUAGAUGUUCUGGAAUGGUAAAUGAGCUUCGCCGCUCUAUGAGGAUAGUCACUAGAAUUAGUUGCCUGGUGAUGGUUUUGCAUUGACAUUAGUAGAAACUAGAAGCAAAAGUACCGGUAGUGUGUGUGUGUGUGUGUACCAUGAGAAAAAUUAAAGACCAAUAUUUGCAGAUAGGUGCCAAAAGAAAAAAAAAGAUUUUCUUCCAUUUGUUAUUUCUCAAUAUAUAUAUAUAUAUAUAUAUAUAUAUGUGUGUGUGUACGCCAUGAUAAAUCGUUAGCCACUACACACACAUUUUUUCUCUCCUUGUUUUUUCUGUGUCCCUUUCUGUAGAAGAGCAUAGGCUCGAAACGUAAAAGACUUUUUCUAUUCCUGAGCAUUAUACUAAUACAUCUGUUUGUUUUGUACACCACCUGUCUUCAUCUUUUGUUUUUUUUCAUAAACUUUUCCUAUAUAUAUAUAUAUAUAUAUAUAUAUAUAUAUAUAUAUAUAUAAAUAAUAUGAGGUGUUUGUAUGAUUUGUUUAUAAGAAAUAUUUUCUUUUUUUAUCUAAUUGGAAGAAUAAGUUAGUUUUCUCCUGAUUCUUGCUAGUUUGUUUUAGUCAUCACACCCACCCACUCCUAAGAUCAUUCUGGUGUACCAUCAAUAUUCUAACUUUAAACAACAAUUGGUUCACUUAUUUUAAGUAUUUCGUAAGUUUUGUUCGUAUUUUUUCCUCGUAUAUUUAUUCUAAAUCUCUGUUUAUUUUCUUGCUAUACUUUCUGUAAUUUGUAUUAAAUGCACAGAUUUAAAAAAUAGAAAAAUGAGACCUGGGCAACUGUGUAACGAACACAUCAUUACUAUUGCCAUUGUUCUUAUCAGUAUCAUCAUUUUUACGUCUGUUUUGCUCCUCAUAUGCCGAAAUAGAUCAAAUAAGUACAUGGUCUAUUAGCGAGGUUGAAGUUGAUUGAAUGGACCAUAAUCCUUCCCUGCAGAUUUCUGGUUUUGUGACAAAAUAAGAAAUCAUUAUUUGUUGAAAAGGAAACAAAUGAAGUCAAAAACUCCAGAGGGAGGAGAGAAGAGUUGCACAAAAUGAGAUUUUUGCACUCACUACAAAAACUUAGAGAAAACAUUCUCAUGUAUAAUGAUACACACUGACUUUUGUUAAAUAUGAUACAUUGCAAAAAAAGAGAAAAAUGUGUUUAGUCUGAUUUAUUGUAAUUGCUGUGUAAAAUACAUUGUACAAAAGUUAUCCUAAAAGAAACUAAAACAGAUUCAAAUGUGAUCUUGGGAUUGCACCAUUACAGGUCAAAAAUUUGUAUUUACUGUAAAGUUAGCAUUUUUGAAUUACACAGUCAUAUUUUUUUUCAUGAAAUGUGUUUAUUAUACUCUUUUACUCUUUUUUUUACUUGCUUCAGUCAUUUGACUGUGGCCAUGCUGGAGCACCGCCUUUAGUUGAUUGAGCAAAUCGACCUCAGGACUUAAUCUUUGUAAGCCUAGUACUUAUUUUAUCGGUCUCUUUUGCCGAACUGCUAAGUUACGGGGAUGUAAACGCACCAGCAUCGGUUGUCAAAUGAUGUUGGGGGGACAAACACAGACACACAAACAUAUACAUACACACAUACGUACACUAUUAUACAUAUAUACGACGGGUUUCUUUCAGUUUCCGUCUUCCAAAUCUACUCACAAGGUUUUGGUUGGCCUGAGGCUUUAGUAGAAGACACUUGCCCAAGGUGCCACGCAGUGGGACUGAACCCAGAACCAUGUGGUUGUUAAGCAAGCUACUUACCACACAGCCACUCCUAUGCCUAGGAUACAUGAAUAAAUUCUACUCUUCUUAAUAUCCUUCAAAAACCUUCAAGUAAAAGAAAUAGAAAUCACAAUCCUUGUUUUGUAAAUCUUUUUGUAUCGUUUAGUCCAGGUCAGCUCUGACUAAGCAAAAGUGUUCCAGCAAGAAUCUGGUCCAAAUGCGUUUACAGGAAUAUAUUAUCCCAUGUAACCUUCCCAUUUUCGAGAUGAUAGACUGUGAUUUGAAGGAGAUUAGGUUGGUAUUUCUAGCACAGGGAAUGACUGCAUCAAGACUCUCUUAUUGGCUCAUAAAGUAUAUAUAUUAUGGUUUAUUGUUGUAUCAAGCAGUUGUUUAAUUAUAUUUAUCAGUUGUUUUAACCCAUGUAACCUUCCCAUUUUCGAGAUGGUAGACUGUAAUUUGAAGGAGAUUAGGUUGGUGUUUCUAGCACAGCGAAUGACUGCAUCAAGACUCCCUUAUUGGCUCAUAAAGUAUAUAUAUUAUGGUUUAUUGUUGUAUCAAGCAGUUGUUUAAUUAUAUUUAUCAGUUGUUUUAACCCAUGUAACCUUCCCAUUUUCGAGAUGGUAGACGUUAAGUUUGAAGGAGAUUAGGUUGGUAUUUCUAGCACAGCGAAUGACUGCAUCAAGGCUCCCUUAUUGGCUCAUAAAGUAUAUAUAUUAUGGUUUAUUGUUGUACCAAGCAGUUGUUUAAUUAUAUUUAUCAGUUGUUUUAACCCAUGUAACCUUCCCAUUUUCGAGAUGGUAGACUGUAAUUUGAAGGAGAUUAGGUUGGUGUUUCUAGCACAGCGAAUGACUGCAUGAAGACUCCCUUAUUGGCUCAUAAAGUAUAUAUAUUAUGGUUUAUUGUUGUAUCAAGCAGUUGUUUAAUUAUAUUUAUCAGUUGUUUUAACCCAUGUAACCUUCCCAUUUUCGAGAUGGUAGACUGUAAUUUGAAGGAGAUUAGGUUGGUAUUUCUAGCACAGGGAAUGACUGCAUCAAGGCUCCCUUAUUGGCUCAUAAAGUAUAUAUAUUAUGGUUUAUUGUUGUAUCAAGCAGUUAUUUAAUUAUAUUUAUCAGUUGUUUUAACCCAUGUAACCAUCCCAUUUUCGAGAUGGUAGACUGUGAUUUGAAGGAGAUUAGGUUGGUGUUUCUAGCACAGCAAAUGACUGCAUCAAGGCUCCCUUAUUGGCUCAUAAAGUACAUAUAUUAUGGUUUAUCGUUGUAUCAAGCAGUUGUUUAAUUAUGUUUAUCAGUUGUGUUAACCCUUGCUAGUUUACUUUAAUAAAGUCGUUUGCUCUCUAAGAUGAUGAAAUAAGUUGAAAUAAUUUGCUACUUGAAGCAUUAUUCAAUUCCUUUCCCUUUGUUAUAUGUGCACAAAUGUGGAGGCGCAAUGGCCCAGUGGUUAGGGCAGCGGACUCGCGGUCGUAGGAUCGCGGUUUCGAUUCCCAGACCGGGCGUUGUGAGUGUUUAUUGAGCGAAAACACCUAAAAGCUCCAUGAGGCUCCGGCAGGGGAUGGUGGUGAUCCCUGCUGUACUUUUUCACCACAACUUUCUCUCACUCUUACUUCCUGUUUCUGUUGUACCUGUAUUUCAAAGGGCCGGCCUUGUCACUCUCUGUGUCACGCUGAAUAUCCCCGAGAACUACGUUAAGGGUGCACGUGUCUGUGGAAUGCUCAGCCACUUACACGUUAAUUUCACGAGCAGGCUGUUCCGUUGAUCGGAUCAGCCAGAGCCCUCGUCGUUGUAACCGACGGAGUGCUUCCCAUGUGCACAAAUCUUGGUAAAUACUCAACUUUAUACUAAACCAAAUUAAACAUUAGUUAACCGAGAUCAUAGCGAAAGGUAACAUUUUGACUGCCGUUCACAGUUUCACAUUCUUCAAAAUUAACAGAAUGUCUGAUUUUGUGGAAUAUUGCACAAGCUUAGGCAGAGCAGAUGUUACUCUUGGAAAACUGUCACAAGUUCCGAUGGUGUAGUAUUUUUUUGUUGUGGAACCAUACUCUGGAUGGAACACAAGUUGCUCUACCGAACUUGGUCAAUGAAGCACAAUCUUCUUUCUUUCUUUCUUUCCUUCUUUUUCUUUGCUCCUUUUCUUUCUUUCUUUCUUUCUUUCUCUCUCUCUUUCUUUCUUUCUCUCUUUCUUUCAUUCUUUCUUUCUCUCUUUCUUUCUUUCUUUCUCUCUCUUUCUUUCUUUCUUCCUUCCUACUUCUUUCUUUCCUUCUCUCUUUUUCUUUGCUCCUUUUCUUUCUUCUUUCUUUCCUUCCUUCCUUCUUUCCUACUUCUUUCUUUCCUUCUCUCUUUUUCUUUGCUCCUUUUCUUUCUUCUUUCUUUCCUUCCUUCCUUCUUUCCUACUUCUUUCUUUCUCCCCUAAUUCCUUCUUUCCUAUUUUCCUUUUUCUUUGCUCCUUUCCUUCCUUCCUUCCUUCCUUGCUUGCUCCUUUUCUUUCUUUCUUCCUUCCUUCCUACUUUCUUUCCUUUUUUCUUUUUCCUUCUUUUCUUUUCCUUCCUUCCCCUCUCCUGCUUUCUUUCUUUCUCUCUUAAAUUUGUUAAGGUGGAUUUUUGUACGGUCAGAUGCCCUUCCUGUCACCGACCCUCAACUAAGGCAAAAUAUCCCUCCCCCACCACCUCCUUCCAUGACCAGGCAUGCUAGCAUAAAAAAUCAUAAACAAAAAUGGAUACUGCUUUCACAAUGGUUACACUCGCUUAUGACCAUCACCCAGAAACCAAAGCAAAGUAGACCAAUAACAUAACCUUCUUGGCUUUAUUCCCGCAAAUAUAACGAUAAAGUACAUUGCCGCCCAAGACACAAAAAAAAAUUGAUAUGUUUUCAAAAUGUCGCUGAUACCAUAAUACAUAAAAUAAUAAUAACAGAGGGGGAUAAAACAUAUCAAUUACCUUUCUGUGGGGUGUUGCUGUAAGGGGGGGAAACAUCGAUUGAAUUCAAUUUGUCAUUGUGUUUUUGCAAAGUAGAGUGCAGAGUACAUUGUAACUGAAGCUGUGAUAUAUAAUUGAUACAUUUCAAAAACGACCGAAAAUAAUUUAUAAUUAUAUACGUGGAGUAAUAACACAUGAUAACAUGAUAACAGACACGGGGAUAUUAACGCAUAAUACGCAUAACAAUAACGUCAUAGAAGUAAUAAUAAUAGUAAUAAUAAUGAUAAUAGUAAUAAUAAUACCAUUGCGAUACAAUAGUAAAAACGACAAGAACAAAUGCAACAACAAUAAUAAUGAUGACAAUAAUAAUAAUAAUAGUAAUAAUAAUAAUAAUAAUACCAUUGCAAUACAAUAGUAAAAACGACAAGAAAUGCAACAACAACAAUAAUAAUAAUAAUAAUAAUAAUAAUAAUGAUAAUAAUAAUAAUACCAUUGCAAUACAAUAGUAAAACGACAACAAGAAAUGCAACAACAACAACAACAAUAAUAAUAAUAAUGAUAAUAAUGAUAAUAAUAAUAACAACAACAAUAAUAAUAAUAAUAAUAAUAAUAAUACCAUUGCAAUACAAUAGUAAAAACGACAACAAAAAAUGCAACAGCAACAAUAAUAAUAAUAAUGAUGAUAAAUAAUAAUAAUAAUAAUAAUAAUAAUAAUAAUAAUGAAGUCAUUUCAGUAAUAUUAUACAGAAACAUAAACAUUUGUAUAUAUGUUAUGAAGUAGUCCUAGUAAUCUGUACAGAGUCUGAGAGAGAGAAAAAAAAAAUUGUUUCCUGGACCUGUUCACCUAAACUUGAAUACAUUUGUAAUGUCUACCAUGUGGCAACAAUGGUGGGGACUGGGGGUGGGGGCGUAACCCUUAGGUCUGGCCUUCUUUAUCUGGUUGAGAUAUGUUGAGUGUUGUCUUGGAUAGCCAACUUCAAGUAAGAAGGACCAGUUACCGAGAGGAGGAGGUAAUGCGGCAGUAACAAUCAUUUAAGGAAUAUUUACUAUCCACUGUAAUCUCUCUCCCUUUCUCUCUAUCCUCAGUCCCUCUCCUCACUCUCUCUCUCUCUCUCUAGAGAUCUCUUUUAUCUAUAAUAUUUUACUGUUAAAAAGAAUUUAAAUGUAACCAAAAGAAAAAAGGAAAGGUAAAAAAGAAAAAGAAAAGAAUCAAACAACAAAAUUCUUGCAUUCUUUUGGUUUCUUGUAAUUCUCACUGCCUCAUGGUCCUAGCAGACAAAAUGGAAAAAAGUAUUGCAGUGUAUAGUUGGACAGAAAUCUCUCGUUUGUACAAUGGCAAAAGUCAGUGACUAUCCAAGAACGAUUUUUUCUGGUGGCAUGUAAAAAGCACCCAGUGCACUCUGUAAAGUGGUCGGCAUUGAGAAGGGCAUCCAAUCAUAGAAACCAUGCCAAAACAGACAAAUGGAGCCUGGGAAGGUCUACAACUCCGGUCAAACCACCCUUCCCGUGCCAGCAUGGAAAUUGGAUGUUAAAUGGUAAUGAUUUCUUUGUAAUAUCUUGAAUUUGUAAAAAUGGUGCUUGAACCUUUCUUAUUUGCUAUAUUCCUCCCAUUUAAUCCUGUUGAUAUCAACCAACUUGAAACCGCUUCUGAUUCAGCGGUACAAAUGUCUUGUUUUCAAAAGUUCUGAAUUAAAAUCUUCCACCAAACCUAAGUCACAAUUUAUGUUCCUAACACCAGCUUAAUGGUAACUAAGUUAUUUUACUAAAUUCCUUGUUAUAUUUAAAAUUAAUUGAAAGAAACACAGAGCAACUCAACAGAAAUACAGUAACGAAUGGGUUAAAAUAUAUAAUAGAGAAAGAAUUCUUAACCCUUUUAAUACCAACCCAGCUGAAACCACUUCUGGCUCAGUAGUACAAAUUUCUUGUUUUCAUAAAUUUUGAAUUAAAAUCUUCCACCAAACCUUAGUCACAAUUUAUGAUCCUAACACCAGCUUAAUGGUAACUAAGUUAUUUUACUAAUUUCUUUGUUACAUUUAAAAUUAAUUGAAAUAAACUCAGAACAUCUCAACAGAAAUAUGGUAAUAUUAGGUUGUCCCAAAAGUUCGUAAACACUUGCGAAAAUUGAAUUUUUACUCGCCAAACAAAAGCAGCAAAAAUUAUUCCUCAAAAUAAAGACCAUUAUUUUCCAAGACUUUCUACGAACUUUUGGGACAACCUUAUAAAAGGGUUAAUGAGCACUGGAUGUGUUUUAACUCUUUUGAUACCGACCAUCCUGAGACCACUCUUGGUUUUGUGAUGCAAAUCUCCCCAUUUGAAAAAUAACCUAAAUCAGUGGUUCUGAACUGGGGUGCAUAUAACCCCACCCCCUAGGGUCCAUGCAAGCAAAAUAGUGAAUUAGUAACAUACAGCAGUAUAUUAAAGAUCCAUAAAAAAUUUCUGCUUUAGAUGUAUUCAUUACCAGAAACAGCUUGGUUUCUCUCUUUAAAUGUCUUAUGCAGUUCACAGUACUCGAGUUAAUGUUUGAGAAACGAAAUAGGGAUUUUGAAAGAGGGGUCUAUAAAACUAGUUUUUAAACAUUGAAUGGCUAUGGGGGUCCACCGUAAUAAAAUAAUUAUCAAAGGGGUCCAUAGGUAAAAAAACAGUUGAGAACCGCUGAUCUAAGGGAAACCCACUAAUCAAAAUUCCAUACAAAUUUAUGCUCCAAAUGCCAUCUGAAAUAUGACUUAAAUUUCAUAAAUCCUUCAUUAUUUCUAAGGUUUGCUAAAAACAUUGUGUUUCAACAUAAAUGUGGUAGCAAAUGAGUUAAUGAUCAGAUUCGUUUCAGUGAACUUGAUUUUAUGAUUUCGUCAUCAGUAAAGGAAGGAUAUCACCUGUAACCUUUCCACAGGGCUCUUGAAGGCAGUGGGGUGGGGCAAGGAGAGAAAGCGGAACUAAUGAGCAUGUCAGUAUAUCAGCUUAUUUAUUGCUGGUAGGGACACUCGUAUUUUGUUUUACAAGUGAAAUAUACUACAUUUUUCUCUCUCCUUGUUUUUUCUGUGUCCCUUUCUGUUGAAGAGUGUAGGCUCCAAACGUAAAAGACUUUUUCUAUUUCUGAGCAUUAUACUAAUACAUCUGUUUGUUUUGUACAUCACCUGUCUUCGUAUUUUGUUCUUUUCAUAAACUCUACUUUACUACUAUAUUAUAGGUUUAUAAGUCAACACCCUGUCCUACUUUUAUGUUGGCAGUGUAAUACAAUCGCUUUUCUGCUCAUCUCUACAGAUUUUCUAUAGAAUUAGAGCCAGUAUUGAAAGUUACACCAUUUUGAAUAUGAAUAUGUCUAUGUAAACAAUGCAAUCAAAGAUAGAAAAAUUUGUGAUUGGUGUAUAUAUCUGUCAAAUGUGUGUGUGUGUGUAUAUAUAUAUAUAUAUAUAUAUAUAUAUAUACACACACACAUAUGUACAUAUGAAUUCAAAUCUUGAUCAGCAAAACAUUAUUUUAACGAAAGAUGAUAAGGUAAAUAUUUGUGCUUCGUUAAGUGGAACAUUUAUUUUCUUUUGUCUUUUAUUCCACUAAACUUCUUACAAUUUCUGAUUACUUUGAAAAUUAGCGCAGAAAAGCAAAAAGUAACCUUAUUAGAGAUAUCAACACAAAAGUAUAAGCACAGUUCUGAAUGUAAUCAUUAUAUAAAUCCUUUGAAUGCAAAAUAAGGAAUUCCUUAAAUUGCAUAUAGUAUUUUGCUUCAUUUCCUUUUUAAGCAUUUUUUGGUCUCAAACAACACAUAAAUGGUUGUGGCAUUAAAACUGUCACUAACCCAAAUUCUUCUUUGUGUUGCAUCGUCAUGCUUCAGAGCUCCUUAGAAACAAAACACUGUUUGCACACAUUUCUGUAACGCAAAUAACACCUCUGUUUAAACAGCAUCCUUCAGAAAAAGCACAUCUCAUGUACAAACAAUGCAGAUGAUCUAUCCAGCGCACACAGGUACUUAGAUUAACAAGACAACCUCUAGAAACAGCAACCAAAAUCCUGUCUCCCCCGAUCAAAACCACCACCACUUGACAACUGAUGUUGGCAUGUUUACGUCCUGUAACUUAGCAGUUCAGCAAAAGACACCGAUAGAAUAAGUACUAAGCUUACAGAGAAUAAGUUCUGGAGUCAAUUUCUUCAACUAAAACCCUUUAAGGCAGUGCUCCAGCAUGUCUGCAGUCAAAUGACUGAAACAUGUAAAAGAAUAAUAGAAUAACCCUUAAUAUCUGGCCAAAAUUUUCUACCUGUUUCGCGUUCAAACUGACCAGAUCUGGCUUCUCACACCAACCUUACAAUAUCAUUGUAAAAAUUAACAGUGACCUCAUCAAAAUCUGAAAGCUACGAGAUAUUGCAUGUUUAAUUCAAAACAACGUGAAUCGAUAAGCAUUACUUAUGACAGAAAAAUGUGAAUACUGAAGGGUUAAGCAAUUUAAUCCUACAUAUACAUAGGCGCAGGAGUGGUUUUGUGGUAAGUAGCCUGCUUACCAACCACACGGUUCCGGGUUCAGUCCCAUGCGUGACACCUUGGGAAAGUGUCUUCUACUAUAGCCUCGGGCCGACCAAAGUUUUGUGAGUGGAUUUGGUAGACGGAAACUGAAAGAAGCCUGUCGUAUAUAUCUAUAUGUAUAAAUGUGUGUGUUUGUGUGUCUGUGUUUGUCCCCCCAACAUCGCUUGACAACCGAUGCUGGUAUGUUUACGUCCCCGUUACUUAGCGGUUCGGCAAAAGAGACCGAUAGAAUAAGUACUAGGCUUACAAAGAAUAAGACCUGGGGUCGAUUUGCUCGACUAAAAGGCGGUGCCCCAGCAUGGCCGCAGUCAAAUGACUGAAACACGUAAAAGAGAAAGAGAUACAGAGUAAAUGAUAGAAGGAUUAAUGCCUAUGAUAAGUGAUUCUCAGCUGGGGCUCAUAUGGCCACUGAGGGUCCAUAUAUAAGAUUUUUAUGUCGCACUGUGAGAUUGAACCCAAAACCAUGUGGCUACACAGUUGUAAAAUAAAUUCUUUUAACACACAGCCAUGCUUGCUCCUAUAGUGAUUAUCUAGAAUUAGAGUAUUUUUUUUGAUAUUCCUUUUCUUUAAGGCGGUGAGCUGGCGGAAAUGUUAGCAUGCCGGCCGAAAUGCUUCAUGGUAUUUCAUCUGUCAUUACAUUCUGAGUUCAAAUUCUGCCGAGGUCAUCUUUGUCUUUCGUCCUUUCGGGGUUGACAAAUUAAGUACCAGUUAUACACUGGGGUUGAUGAAAUCGACUUUAUCCAUUUGUCUGUCCUGGUUUGUCCUCUCUGUGUUUAGCCCCUUGUGGGUAGUAAAGAAAUAGGUAUUUCGCUCGUUGCUACAUUCUGAGUUCAAAUUCCGCCGAAGUCAUCUUUGUCUUUCAUCAUUUCAGGGUCGACAAAUUAAGUACCAGUUGCAUACAGGGGUUGAUCUAAUCGACUGGGCCCCUGCCCCCAAAAUUUCGGACCUUGGGCCUAGAGUAGAAAAGAAUUUUCCUUUUCUUUGUAAGACAGUGAGCUGGCAGAAUCAUUAACACUUUGGGGAAAAUUCGUGGUAUUUUGUCCAUCUUUACAUUCUGAAUUCGAAUUCUACCAAGAUCAACUUAGCCGUUCGUCCUUACAGAGUCGAUAAAAUAAGUACCAGCUAAACAUUGGAGUUGAUUGAAUUAGACCUACCCCUCUCCUCAACAAUUGCAGGCCUUGUGCCAAAACUUGAAACUAAUAUUUCUUUUCCUAGUACAACUCUCUCUAAAACAUUUUAUGCAAUUAAACUGGCUUAUAUUGUGGCUUCCUGAUAUUAUAAUAGGUUGUGUAUGUGUAUACGCACGUUCAACAGUUAUUUUUCAAUAUGUACGAGUCAAUAUGUUUAAUAUUUUUUGGCUGUUAAACAAAACCUACAAUUUACAGUCCAUUAAAAGUCAAUUGUUAUCAUAAACAAAAUGAUUUUAUGUUUCAAUUUUGAAUAGAGUUCAGUAUUUCCUUUAAAAAAAUCUUUUUUGUUUUCCUAUACAAUUUAGACUGUUAGCAAAAUCAACGUAUUCUAAUUGUAUAGAUGAAUUUUAAAGAAAAAUGGUAUUAUUCCAAUUAUUAUUAUUAUUAUUAUUAUUAUUAUUAUUAUUAUUAUUAUUAGGCAGCGAGCUGGCAAAAACGUUAGCACGCCGGGUGAAAUGCAUAGCUUUAUUUCGCCUGCUGAGUUCUGAGUUCUGAGUUCAAAUUCCGCUGAGGUCGACUUUGCCUUUCAUCCUUUCGGGGUCGAUAAAUUAAGUACCAGCUGCGUACAGGGUCGAUCUAAUCGACUGGCCCCGCUCCCCCAAAAUUUCAGGCUUUGUGCCUAGAGUCGAAAAGAUUAUUAUUAUUGUUAUUAUUAUUAUUAUUAUUUUUAUUAUUAUUAUUAUUAUUAUUAUUAUUAUUAUUAUUAUUAUUAUUAUUAUUAUUAGAGUGUGGCUGUGUGGUAAGAAGUUUGCUUCUCAACUGCAUAGUUCCUGGUUCAGUCCCACUGCAAGGCAACUGUCUUCUACUAUAACCCCGGGUCAACCAAAGCCUUAUGAGUGGAUUUGGUAGGAAGAAACUGAAAGAAGCCCAUUGUGUGUGUGUGUGUGUGUGUGUGUGUCUGUUUGUCCACCACCACUUGAUAACUUGUGUUGAUACCCUUGUCACUUAGCAGUUCAGCAAAAGUGAUUGAUAGACUAAGUACCAGGUUUAAAAAAAAUAAGUGCUGGAGUUGAUUCAUUCAACUAAAAGUUCUUCAAGGCAUUGCCCCAGCAUGGCCGCAGUCUAAUGAAUGAAACCAGUAAAAGAUACAAGCGUAUGUAUAGCUGUGUGGGUUAAGACGUUUGCUUUGCAAAACACAUGGAUCCAAGUUCAAUUCCAUGACAUAGCAACCUAGACUAAAUGUCUUCUAUAAUUUCAAGUUAACCCAUCAGCAUUCAGAUUAUUCUGCCAAAUGUAUUUGUUCACAUUCUGUUGGGUCUGGGGAGAGUCAGUUUCUUUUUGUGCCUUAUAAUGUAACACACUCACUGGUAAAAUUUCCACUUAUUUUUAUUUUUAUGGAAAUUUUACUUGUGAGUGUCUUAAAUUAUAAGGCACAAAAAGAAAAUGACUCUCCCCAGACACAACAAAAUAUGCUUCAACACACGAACUCAUAUAAAGAAUCUUGCAAACCAAACCCCAAAACGAAAUAUAAUAAGCUUUAUUCACAUUGUUUUCAAUUAAUCAUGCAUUAUCUUGUAGCUUUGAGUUUUCAGUGUUGUGAUUGUAUAUUUUUAGAAUGGCAUUGUAAGGUAGGUUUAAGAGGCCAGAUCUUGAUAGUUUGAACAUGAAGCAGAUAGAAUGUUUAGGCCAGAUAUCUAUCUCUAUCUAGGUCGUCCCUCAGGAUGUCCCAAGACUGUUUCCACACGUUUUCCCCAUUCAUCUGGAUCUUCCAUAAUGCUCCUCAGCUCCUGUACCCCUUCCAUACCAAUAUCCUCCAGCAAGUUGUCGAUAUAGGUCGUCUUCUUCCUUCCUCUCUUAGGUCCUCUGUUGGUUGCUAGGGCACUAAUUUGUAAGCAAUUUCAUUGGUAUGUCUGAUGAAGUGUCCAGCAAAUACCUUGGUGCGUGGACACAAAGUACUGAAAAAGACAUCAUAGAAAGGAAAGCUCUUGCCUGGAGCGCAUGCCAUAAAUUGAGAAAGGUAUGGAGUUCAAAGUUAGCAAGGAAAUUGAAAGUGAGAUUGUUUCUGGCAACAGUGGAGUCUGUUCUUCUAUACGGGGCUGAAACAUGGAUGCUUGCUAAAGCAUUGAAGAAGCAGUUGGAUGGUUGUUAUAUGAGGGUGCUUAGAAUGGCAUUCAAUGUCUCCUGGAAGAGUCAUACAGCAAACGCCGACUUAUACCAGGAACUACCAAAAGUGACAUUGAAGAUACAGCAUAGAAGCGCCAGAUAUGGCUGAUUUAAAUCCUAAAGAGUCACACAAUACUUUUAAUGAGUGGAAUUUGGUUGAUGGAAACUGUGCAGAAGCUCAUUUUGUGUGUGUGUGUCUUUGUGGCUGUUUCCCCCUCCCCACCACCACCACCACCACUUGAUAACUGGUGUUGCUGUGUUUAUGUCCCUAUAACUUAGCAAUUCGGCAAAAAAGACCGAUAGAAUGGUUUAAAAGGGUAAUAAAUACUGGGAUUGAUUAGUUUGACUAAAAUUUCUCGGGGUGGUGCCCCAGCGUGGCCACAGUCUAAUUGAUGAAACGAGCAAAAGAUAAAGAGGCAGCAGUAUAGCUGUGUGGUUUAGAAGUUUGUUUCAGAACCUUUGGUUCAGAAGUUCAAUCCCACUUCAUGGACAUUGUUGGUUGUCGUCCUCUGACUAUAGCCUUGGUUGACCAAUACCUUGUGAGUAUAAUUGGUAGAUCAUGUGAUCACUUGACCGACCAGGCUGUCAGAUGUUGUUACACAUCGCUGGUCACUGGGCACUUUUUGCCUUUUUGCAUUGUUUUAGCCUUCAAAUGAUGCCACCCUGCUGGCGAGGUGAGCAGGCCAAGGAUACCCUCUGAUUGAAGUGGGGUCUGGAGUAAUGUGAAAUGAAGUGUUUUGCUCAAGAACACAUCGUGCCACUCAGUUGGAAUCGAACCCACGAUCUAGUGAUCGUGAGCGCAACAGCCUAACCGCUAGGUCACACGCCUUCACAGUUGGUAGAUGAAAACUGGUAAAAGCCUGUCGUGUGUUUCAGUCUGUGUGUCUGUUGGGGGUGGGGAAGCAUGUGCACACAUGCAUGAGUUCAUAUUCUCUCUUAACUCUACAUAUUUGCUGAUCAUAGACGUGAACUUCACACUUCAAACAGACAGUGUGAUGUGCGUGCAGUCAACUGUGAAAGCAUGUGCCAAGUUUCUUGACAUGUCUCGGCAUGUUGCGCGAUCGCUGGCAAGCAAAAUGCUCACCAUUCAUGCACAUGAGGAUGCACAUUUCUGAUACUCUAUCUAACCAUGUGUGUUCUGUUCUUGGUUCGAUAAGCCGAUGCAGUGUCAUUAACUUUGUUUGGAACAUCUCGAUAUCCUCAGACAUCCUAGAGACGUCGACUUGUAAAGCUUGCAGCAGUUUACUCUUCUAAAGGCACCAAAACAAAAUCAGGAAUCAGUGUUAAACCUUGUGACAGGAUUCUCUCAAACAGCCCCUUCUAUACACUUAACAGAAUUUGUGUUUCUGGUCCUAUGUCUGACCACGAAGGUUCAUGUAACCAAACUGGAACUAAACUAACUUUCAAGUGAAAAUAAUGGUUUUGUUGUUAAAUACUGCUUCAGUGUCAGUCCAGCUCUGAUUCGAGAUGAUUUAUGAUCAAAAGCAUACCAACCUUGGCAAUCCCAUCUUAGUUUUCUUCCGGCAGGUAUAUUUAACACUUUUUCUUUAUGUAGUUUUAUUGAAAUACGCCCUUUUAUUUUAAUUAAUUUUGAAACAUGUUUCUCCUUUACAGCGGCACACCUGUUUCUGUCCUCAUUCUUGUUAACUCUCUCUCUCUCUCUCUCUCUCUCUCCCUCCCCUGGCCUGGUUAUCAUGUAUAUCCUUUACAAUAAGACACCUGUUUCUGGCUCUCUGUCUCUGUCAUGUUCUCACCCUUCAUCAUCCUAUUUCUUUAUUGCCCACAAGGGGCUAAACAUAGAGCGGACAAACAAGGACAGACAAAGGGGUUAAGUCGAAUACAUCGACUCCAGUGCGUAACUGGUACUUAAUUUAUCAACCCUGAAAGGAUGAAAGGCAAAGUCGACCUCGGCAGAAUUUGAACUCAGAACUUAACGGCAGACAAAAUACCUAUUUUUUGACUACCCACAAGGGGCUAAACACAGAGGGGACAAACAAGGACAGACAAACGGAUUAAGUCGAGUAUAUCAACCCCAGUUCGUAACUGGUACUUAAUUUAUCGACCCCGAAAGGAUGAAAGGCAAAGUCGAACUCGGCAGAAUUUGAACUCAGAACGUAACGGCAGACAAAAUACCGCUAAGCAUUUCAUCCGGCGUGCUAACGUGUCUGCCAGCUCGCCGCCUUAUUCUCACCCUUCAUUAUCUGACACAAGCUCACCUCUUCUAAUGCCACCCUCCCAUCUCAAAAAUUCCUUGUCUUGCAAGUUACUUGGUGACCCUGGUACCACAUAAAAAGCAUGAAAUCCACACCGUAAAGUGGUUGACAUUUGGAAGGGCAUCCACCUAUAAAAAACCAUGCCAAAACUGACUUCGUCUGUGCUAGGGUUAACAUGGCCCUUACACAAACCACUAAGAGGAUCAUGAUAGUAUGUUUGCAAGAUCCUCGUGGCCCUCUGGUGGAUUGCCUCAUUAUUUCUUUUCUAUAUUUUAUUGUUUUCCUUUCC